rnacentral:rRNA from 1 species
CAAAUGAAUUGACGGGGCCGCACAAGCGGUGGAGCAUGUGGUUAAUUCGAAGCAACGCGAAGAACCUUACCUGGCCUUGACAUGCUGAGAACUUUCUAGAGAUAGAUUGGUGCCUUCGGGAGCUCAGACACAGGUGCUGCAUGGCUGUCGUCAGCUCGUGUCGUGAGAUGUUGGGUUAAGUCCCGUAACGAGCGCAACCCUUGUCCUUAGUUACCAGCACCUCGGGUGGGAACUCUAAGGAGACUGCCGGUGACAAACCGGAGGAAGGUGGGGAUGACGCCAAGUCAUCAUGGCCCUUACGGCCAGGGCUACACACGUGCUACAAUGGUCGGUACAAAGGGUUGCCAAGCCGCGAGGUGGAGCUAAUCCCAUAAAACCGAUCGUAGUCCGGAUCGCAGUCUGCAACUCGACUGCGUGAAGUCGGAAUCGCUAGUAAUCGUGAAUCAGAAUGUCCACGGUCCGAAUACGUUCCGGGCCUU